AACGAACGCUGGCGGCAUGCCUAACACAUGCAAGUCGAACGAGACCUUCGGGUCUAGUGGCGCACGGGUGCGUAACGCGUGGGAAUCUGCCCUUGGGUUCGGAAUAACAGUUAGAAAUGACGGCUAAUACCGGAUGAUGACUUCGGUCCAAAGAUUUAUCGCCCAGGGAUGAGCCCGCGUAGGAUUAGCUUGUUGGGGAGGUAAAAGCUCACCAAGGCGACGAUCCUUAGCUGGUCUGAGAGGAUGAUCAGCCACACUGGGACUGAGACACGGCCCAGACUCCUACGGGAGGCAGCAGUGUGGAAUAUUGGACAAUGGGCGAAAGCCUGAUCCAGCAAUGCCGCGUGAGUGAUGAAGGCCUUAGGGUUGUAAAGCUCUUUUACCCGGGAUGAUAAUGACAGUACCGGGAGAAUAAGCCCCGGCUAACUCCGUGCCAGCCGCCGCAGUAAUAC
rnacentral:rRNA from 1 species